AAAUAAAGAAUAUAGGUGCAUUUAUAUAUCAAAUUGAUACGUAAUUUGUAUUAAUAUAAUUUUAAAUUUGUAACUAUUAUGAAGUUAUAAGUUUUUUAAAAGAAGAGUGCUUAUUAAAUCUACGUUUAACAUUCAUGUUGCUGAGGGUUUGCUCGUAAUUUUUCGUUGCAUUAUUUAAUAAAAUUUAGUAAGAAGGUGUGACUUGUUUUGCAGGUUUAAAACGACUUUCUUUGUGUGCUUUAAGUAAUUUUUUUCCUAAGUAUGAACGAAUAACUCAACUGUGAAUUCAAAUUAAAUACUGAAACUGAAAGCACAUAAAUAUAUGUUAAAAUUUCCAGAGCCUUUGUUUAUUACCUGAGGGCUCAGCUAGUCUAUCGAAAAAUGGAUGUUAGUGUCUUCCAAAAAACAAGUUACUUGAACUAAAGAUAAAUUUUGAUAACCUGGACCAAAUCUGGAUUAUUUAUUAAAUUCAUUGUGUAGCAUAGAAUCUAUACUAUUACACCCGAUGAAACAUUUUAUCUUGGCUGUUCCUUGUUAAAAUUUACAUUAUUUCUCAUUGAAUUAGUCUAAAGAUUUAUUGUUCAAUAUUUGAUAAAAAAAAGGUUUUCCUUUUUGAAAUUGUCUGCAUUAGUUUGUUUGAUUUUUAAAUUGAAAUAUAACUUGUCUUAAUUUUAGGAAACAAUGAAGAGAAAAUGUGUGGGAAUCUGGAAUUGCAAGGCCUGUCAAAAAACUGUUGCUGGUGGUGCCUAUGUUUAUGGAACAAUAGCAGCAUCUACAGUAAGGAGUGCAGUAAGAAGAUUAAGGGAAUUAAAAGAACAGUAAAGAGUUGUAAAUUUAAAUAAAUAAAAAAAAAUUAAUUGA